rnacentral:lncRNA from 1 species
UCAAAUUCCACCAGCUGCUAUCCGAAGGAGCCAGAUCGCCUUUGAAAUCAGCAGAGUCUGGUACUGAUGAGUCCUUUUGGCUGCAAUAGUCACCACAGGUCUCAUCUGCAUCGUUGUAUAUAAGUUUCAGUGCCUGCACAACUUCUCCCAUGAAUGGUCUGUGUGAGACCUCUUGGUGGACGCACAUGGAGGCAAUCGCAGCCACUUUCGCCAUGUCAUCAAAGUUGUAGGUUCCAGCCAAUGCAGGGUCCACUAGUUGCUCCAGGCCCUCUCUGUUGGCUAGUAAGGGUCUCGCCCAUGUCACAAGGUUUUCCUCUCCCGAAGGUUGAGACAUGUCUACCGGUCUUCUACCGGUGAGAAGCUCUAGUAGAACCACACCGUAACUAUAAACAGUCUGGUACUGAUGAGUCCUUUUGGCUGCAAUAGUCACCACAGGUCUCAUCUGCAUCGUUGUAUAUAAGUUUCAGUGCCUGCACAACUUCUCCCAUGAAUGGUCUGUGUGAGACCUCUUGGUGGACGCACAUGGAGGCAAUCGCAGCCACUUUCGCCAUGUCAUCAAAGUUGUAGGUUCCAGCCAAUGCAGGGUCCACUAGUUGCUCCAGGCCCUCUCUGUUGGCUAGUAAGGGUCUCGCCCAUGUCACAAGGUUUUCCUCUCCCGAAGGUUGAGACAUGUCUACCGGUCUUCUACCGGUGAGAAGCUCUAGUAGAACCACACCGUAACUAUAAACAUCGCUUUUAACAAGGAGAUGCCCCGUCAUUG